rnacentral:misc_RNA from 1 species
AGGAUCAUUGUCGAAAGCUUGCACAGUGUUGGUGGACAUGCGAACUUGUCGAAACAUUUAUAGGGGGUGCACGCGGAGCUGCUUUGUCUCCCCCCCAUGGUCGAUGGGUAUGUGGUCAAGAGGCCAUGUGCACCUCGGUCUAACUCUCAAAUCGGCACUCGACGUGCCAAGGAAACUCAAUUUGAAAUGCUAUCCCCCGGCCCUCGUACGAUGCGUGCGUGGGAUUCGAAGAGGAGACGCGUGAAGAAGAAUGGUGUGAUAGAAUGACUCUCGGCAAUGGAUAUCUCGGCUCUCGUAUCGAUGAAGAACGCAGCGAAAUGCGAUACUUGGUGUGAAUUGCAGAAUCUCGUGAGCCAUUGAGUUUUUGAAUGCAAGUUGCGCCCGAAGCCAUUUUUUUGGUCGAGGGCACGCCUGCCUGGGUGUCGUGCAUGCAGUUUUCCUGGGACCUCCUCCACCGUGAGACCCAUUGCCUGGUUGAUUUUCAUUGGGGGUGAGGGAUCUCGGGUGUAUGUUGGCCUCCCGUCCCCCGUUGUGCGGUUGGUUUAAAUUUGGGGUCCUUGGUGGCAUGCAUCGUUGAUGAGUUGUCAUAAACAACGUUUGUCCUAUGUCGGCAAGUGAGCCCUCGCGGCCCCAUGGCUUCCUUGACACUUGUACGGAGUUGCCAUUUCGACCCC